CAUGUUGGAGAUUUUCUUUUCAUCAAUAUAAACUCUGAUCCUUGCUGAAGUCAUCUCCAUGUCCAUGCCUCGGACCAUCCUCGAUCCACAUUCACAUCCUUGCCGUUGUCUUGUCCGCGCCGCCUGCAGCACGACCAUCUCCCUAUGUCGUCACGCCCAGAUGUACCGCCGUCCCCGUCAAUUUGCAUUCAUCUGGGCCAGGAGGACGUAGACUGCCGUUCCCAACGCUGAUGUUGUCCGCUCCCCAGCCUACAGGAAGCGCUAUUGAAUUGCGACUCAAUCCGGGCGACUUUCCAUGCUGAUCCAUAGAGACCAUUUUCAUAUAUUUCUACACACAUCUCCAAGCUACAUUUGAGGAGAACAUACAGAUGGUCAUAUUAUUUUGUUCAACUAUGAUACAAGAUAGGGAGAUGAUGUGGGUUGCCAUUUUGGAACCUCAAUUACUUCUCAAUUACGUGAAUCACAUGCAGACCGUUUUCAUAUAUUUCUACACAGAUCUCCAAACUACAUUUGGGAGAACAUACAGAUGGUCAUAUUAUUUUGUUCAACCAUGAUACAAGGGAGAUGAUGUGGGUUGCCAUUUUGGAACCAGAGCCUAAGCAAGACCAUUGCAAGGCGAUAUGGGAGCUCAUAAAGUCGCCAUAAAACUACCGUUUAAGACCAGGUUUACUGCAACUCGCAUGAUGCAGCAUGGCAGUGGCGUGGAGGACCAAGCGGGAAGUGAACCAUCAGCCUUUGAGUUACCUGUCACCCUUGGCAUCGAGAAGAUGACACCCAAGCCGUCUUACACCACAGAUAUUGGCGGUUGGUCCAGCAGAUGAAAGUUAGACAAAGCCAGUAUACACUCACUAUCACAAUCACUAUCACCGGGAAGCCCAACAUCAAGUGGAACUAUGUUGCCGGACCAGAGCACCAAGUAGACUGAUCAAGUUCCCACAGUUUUCACAGGUAACCUCCGGUGAGGAUGCAAGCUGCAAGCGCUCCUCGAGUCAGCCUGUCCCGAAAACCCGAUGCACAAUAAGGCAUGGAACGUCCCAGGCAAGGAGUUAUCAUGGCAGCAGAUGUCUAAAACAUUGCACGUGCCCUGAGAAGAAAGAUAGGACAGAACAAAUGCUGGCAAAGAUGAAGGAACAGAGAGUGUUUCUUCUGCAAAUGAGGCAUGAGAAGAAAGAUUGAAGAGAUGAAUCCACUGAUUCCAACGUAUAGUGGAUGCUUCUACAACACCAAGUCAAGACACCACCUCCAGUGACAAAAAUCGUAUUCACAAGAGGCGAUAUGUACUCUCUUAUUUAGUGUAAAUAACUUAAAUAUUUAUGCUCCGGUUCUGAUGUAUAGUGUACAUAUUUGUUGCUACUUUUGCUAGGUGGAGCGAGAUAAUGCAAGUAGUUGAGUAUCGCCGCGGAGACGAAGGUGGAGGUAGACUUGAGAGAUAGAAGAAUGUGUUAAAGGUGGCAUAAACCUCUUCAAAGUUUCCCUCGAGAUCGAAGAAUGUGUUAAACGUGGCAUAAAUCUCUUCAAAGUUUCCCUCGAGAUCGAAAAAUGUACAUGGCGAAGCGAUUGGGGUCGAAAGCCAUGACCUCUCCCUGGUUGUUGCUGCCACAUCUGAGUGCAGCGAGAGUGGAGGGCGAGCCAUGGACCUGGUGGUGGAGAUCUUGACGAGACUGCACCUCUCGCCCUGGCUACCAUCGUCGACUUGCCGUGGUCCAACGCCGCCACAAGGGGCUCCUGCCUUACGGGGUUGUCAUGAUCCAUUAUAUGCAACCAUGGAGUGGCCCAGUUGGAGUGGAUUUGGAUUGUACAUUAGUGCUACCAGGAAUCAUGUACUGGCAGCUUGGUAGCGUAGUAUGCAGAAACUUUGCUUCACAAAGAGCCUAAAGACAAGAUCAGAAGUUGCUCAUAUACCAGCUACCUGGAUAGUACCAUCCCUGUCCCUAACCAACUGUAAUUUGCUUUUAGAUUGUUGUUCAACUGAAACAAGUAGUACCUUAUGUGACCCUGAUGCUAUGUGCUCCUCU